CGUUUCUGCCGAGAUGCUCAGUACCAGUCAGUGUGGGGCCGCUGUGGGAUUUGAGGAAAACUGACAAUGGGGAAAACCCGGAGUUAGGCAAGCCGUGAGGUGCUGACCCUGCUCUGAGAAGAUGCCAGGAAAUUCCACGGAAGCAAUGCCAAGUCUGGGCUACAGAGGCGGCGAGGGGACGUGCUACCCCCUGACUGAGGCAGGGGUGGGGUGAGAGGUCUGAGGCCAGAGAGGAAAGAGGCCGGGAAGAUUCCAGAUUUGGGAGAGUGGGAGGAAUUAGCGGGCGGGGGGCUGCAUGGGGGUGGCUUGGAAGAAAGGUGGUUGGAGAGGAGGAACGUGAACCAGCUGGAAAGUCUGUAUGAACUUCCUCCGGAUCAAGUCCCUGUACCUGUGAUUGACCUAAUUUGGGGACCAGACGUACACCGUGGUUUAGCAUUCACAGAGUUGGUUAAAUGACAUCCUGUCAACGAAUGCCAGAAACGUGUCCGAGAUCACUCAUCUAUUCAAUUCGCCUUUUCCGCAAAUAUGUAUAUGGAGUGCCUGGCGUGUGCCCAGCGCCAUCCUGGGUGAACGAGGUGAACAUCAAUGAACGAGGCAGGCGAACAUCCUGAACUUCACGGAGCUUACGUGCUACAGACAAAAGCAGAAUACGGUAAAUUGUAGGGUAGUGGCAGAGACGUGCUAUAGGGAAAAAGCAGGAAAGAGGGUAGGAAGGGCCAGGGGGGUGCAAGAGUUCACAUUUCACAUAGGAUGGUUCAGAGAAAGCUUGGCAACAGGUGUGCACAGGAGCGGCACACGAUGGGGCCCGAUAACUAAUGCUCGCGAUCUCAUUUUUUCCUCGUUACUAAGGGACGUCGGAAAGCACACGAUUCAGUGGGUUGCAGUCAUACCAUCUCGCAUCUCAGCUCCGAAUCUCAGCCUUGGGAGGGAAGGCACCUUCCAAGGGUGUUCCUUCUGGGAACUAAACUGAACUACAAAAUCUGUUCCAAGCACCCGAAACCUCUUCCAGUGCCUUCGAACUCCCACCGCCACUGUCCACACUUACGCUCAGGAGGCGACCCCAUCUCGGCUUUUGUCCACCCCCUGGGCUCUGGCUUCAAAUGCAUGCUGGCAUCUCCAUUCUUCCCUCCUCCAUAGAUAGAGCUGUUCCUCUGAUAGUAAAGGUUCAUUUCUCCUCCUGCACUCUGAUCGCCAGCAGCCAGAAUCUAUUAGAUUCUUCACGAUAUUGAAAUGCUCUGGUGUCUCCCUUAAAGGUUUUUUUUUUUUUAAUGUUUAUUUAUUUUUGAGACACAGAGAGAGACAGAGCAUGAGCGGGGGAGGG